UCAGCAAAAGAAAAGAAAAGGCAACCCACGCCACCUACAUGGUGGUCUACAUCCAGAAAGCAACAAGAGAAAAAGAUAACCCAACAAAAGAAGAAAGAAGAGAGAAGAGGGAAGAAAAGGAUAUCUUGAAGCUUCCAAAAUCCUACCGCUGCGAAGUCGUGAUCUCUCCCUCUCAAUCAAUAACCCAAUUAGCCCUAACAGGUAUGCUAUGCUAUCUCUUUCUCACUCGCAGAUCUGAAUUUCUCUUCCCUCUUUUUUUUUCAUUAUUACAAAACGUGCCACUAUCGCACUCCCUUUGGCGCACCCGGACAACCCCAUACUCAGCCAUGCCACACUCUCCCGCACUAUGAAUGAAUAAAUAAAUAUUACUCUUCGGUUCUUAAAACAUUGUCGUUUUAGAAGAAAAAAUUUGUUUAAAAAUGUUUGUCGCUUACAACUUUCGAAGAAAAUAAAUUAUUUAUUUUCUUAUAUUACCCCUACCUUCUCUCAUUGUUCCAAAAAAUUAUCUCCCUUAUAUUAAUAGUUUUUAACUUUCCAUAAAAAGGUGGCGAUAGAAUUUCAAACAAAUUUUACUUGGCAAAUGAUAUUUUUUUAAUCCAUAUAUAAAAAUCUUAAACGACAAUCUUUUAAGAAUGGAUGUAGUAAAUAGCUAGCACAUACGACAAAUUAAAAGAAAACACAAAGCUGGCAGUAGGCAUGCACAACAGGCCGGCCUGGCCUGGUCUGGCCUGGGCCUGCCAGGCCUUGGGCUUUGGACCAGGUCAGGCCAGGCCGUUGACUUUUGGCCUCCAGGUCAGGCCUUGGUCGCUGGGUUGUGGCAUGGCUAGGCCUGCAGGCCAGGCCAAGACCCAAGGCCAGGCCAGGCCCAGGACCAAGGCCAGGCCAGGGCAGGCCCAAGGCCUUAGCUGUCUAGUCCCUUUUUUUUAAUGUUACAUAUUAAAUAUUAAAAAUAUAAAUAAUAAAAUAUAAAUUAAUUAAUUUUGUAAAAUAUUAAUAUUGUAGAUUACUUAAAUACUGUAGAUUAAACUUUUAUUUUUUGAAUAUAAAGUUAGUUUCGAUUUUAUUUUCUUAUAGUACGUACUAGGAUCGGUUGAACAUAUAUUUUGUAAAGUUUAAACACACAUAUAUCUUUUCAUUUAUGAUCAUUAAACUCUUACAUGGUUAUAUCUCAAGUAUUAAUUCCAGUUAAUUUUCUAAUUACUUUAUGGAAUUUUUAUUUAAAUUGGUACAACAUAAUUAAUACCUAAAAAAUAACUAAAAUCAUAAAUCCCCCCAAGAAUUUAGCAUAUCCAAAUUAAUGAAGAACAUGAGUAUUUACAAGAAACUACCUUAUUAUUAAUAUUUAAUAUUAAAAAUUAGUUUAUUGAUGUAUUAAUUAAUGUUAAUAUUUAACAUUAAAGUAACAAAGAAUAUUAAUAAAAUUUUAUUGUUAAAUAUUAGUACUUUAGUAUUUACAAUAAAUUAAUUUAUUAUUAAUAUUUAAUCAACCAAGUAACUAACUUAUUAUUAAUAUUAAAUAUACUAACUAGUUAUAUUCAUUGAAGAUGUAUAUUAAUUAAAUGUAUCAACAAGAAAUCAAGAAUGAAUAAUUAAAAUUUUAAAUUUUAUUGAUGUGUUAAUUAAAACUAAUGUAUUAUAAUUUAUAAAUUACAAUAACGAAUAAGUAAAAUUUUAUACUUUAUUGAUGAAUAAUUAUAAAUUUAAAGUUCAAAAAUUACAAAUAAUUGGAUAAAAAAUCAUGUAAGGUCUCAGGCCAGGCUUAGGCAGGCCAGGCCAGGCCAGAUUUUUGUCUAAAAAAAGCGGUCUUUUCAAGCCUUCCAGGCCAGGCCUGACCGGGCCAGGCCUUGACCGGGACGGACUUUGACCAGGCCGGGCCCAGGCCAGAUCAAGGCCAGGCCGCAGGCCUCGGGCCUUUUGUGCAUCCCUAGCUGGCAGCCAUGUGAUAAAAUUAAUAAGAAGUGUUUUGUUUGUUUUUAAAUUUGAAUUUACUAUUUAGGAGAGUGUAUUUAAAUAAGACUUUUAAAGACUUUUAAAAAAUUUUAAAAUUUGGUUGUAUUUAAUCAAGACAUUUAAAGAGUUUAUAAAAGUUUAUUGAUAUUCAAUUACAACUUUUAUAAUGUCUUUAAAAGUUAAGUGAUAUUAAAUUGAGACUUUUACAAAAUCUAUAAAAGUAUUUUUGAUAUUCAAAAAGUCAUAGAUUUUUAAUAUUUCUAUCAAAUGGUAGAAUUUGACCGAUUUUAAAAGAAGAGAUACUCAUAUCCAAAGUCUCAUCUCUAAAGAUUUUUAAAGACUUUUAAAUAUUUGAGAAAGGAAGAAGAUGAACAAAUGAGAAAGAGAUAGAGGAGAUCAAACAAAGAAGAGAGAAAACAAAAUAUAUAUGUAUUAUUCUCACUUUCUCUCUCUCACUACCUCAGUUCUCUCAAAAUAAAAACUUCAAAAAGAAAUAAAAUUAUUAUAGCAGGUGAGGAGAGAGAAAAAGGAGGAAGGGUUUAAAAGAGAGAGUAGCGUUAAGGGUUCUAAAUAGUACCAUAUCAUUGGAGAUAACAAAUAUUUUAAUAUUAUUUUAUAUUUUUUCUCUUCCAUAAAAAAAAUCACAUUUAUUAUAUUUGUUAGCAUUAAAGAUGUAUUUUGUUUUAUGUUUAUUUUUAAAAGUAAUAAAUUUGAUUAAUAUUGUUAUUCGUUGGAAAUUAUAAAUUGUUGGUUUAGUAAUAAUGACUUGAGAGGAAAAUGACAAUGAACAAUUUUAAAAUCAUUAUUGUUAGUAGAAAAUGACUUUUUUAUGAAAUAUAAAAAUUAUGAAAUAUGACAUUUUCUUGUAAUAAAUCGGGUAUGAUCUAAUAAUUCAACUUCAACAAUGUCUUUUAUUUCAAAUUAGGUUGUGACAUUGUCAAUAUAUUUUAAUAUUAUUUAAUAUCGUACUCAUUUCAUCUAAAAUAUAAGAUCUUUGUUGACUUUUUAACAAUUAAUAUAUGUUGCAAGAUAUAUUAGAAGUAGUAUACAAAAGUCUAUCAAAUUCUUGGUAAAAAAUCUAUAAAAUCUAUCAAAUAAUAUAUGUUGUUUUUUCUUUUUCUUUUUCUAUUUUUUUAUUAAAAAAUUAGAAUUUUUUUGAGGCAAAUUUAAAUAUAAUUUGUUCUUCAUCAUCCACGGUCUUUAUGGACUUUAAUUCAAUACAAAUAGUAUAUAUUUUGAGUAAAAAAGUUUUUUUUACGAGAAUAAAAAUUUAUUUUGAAAACACAUUUACAUUUACUAUUAAAUAUCAUUUAUUUUUCUUUAAAUAAUUUUUCCAUGACGAGCUUCAUCAUAACUGUCUCUAGUACGUACAGUUUAUAAAUUAUAGUUUAAAAUAUGUUAUUAUUGGUAAAAGUAUAAUAGUUCAAACUUGUAAAAAACAAACAUAACAUGAUAUUAUUUUAAGUUAUCCCAUAAAUAACUCAUAAAAACAAAUGUGACUAAGGACUAUUUAAUCCUAGGACUUGGAUUAUAAUCCAAAAUUAUAAUCCUUACAAAUAAAUAAGGUUUUAACACUCAUCUGCAAAUUGAAGGCUUUCUGGUGUGAGAUUUAGCAGCCUAUAUUUAAGAUUUUACGUAGAACCUUGAGCUGAAAAUCUGAAACUUUCUGUUAUUAGAGGCGGAGAUUUUCACAAAGAUUUUGUUUUACAAAUCAAAAUUUAAAGGAAGUUUGAUACGCUGAGAUUCUACACUUGCUGAUUGAUUUGAUUUGUUCCGGAAGCUCUAUGAGUGCGUAAAUUGAAAAGAACAAAAAAAAAAGAGUGAUUCUAUUUGAACAAGUUUUUUCUUGUGAUUUUUGUAACAUCACAAGCACUUUCAUCCUCUUUUGAAG
rnacentral:lncRNA from 1 species